GAUGAACGCUAGCGGCGUGCUUAACGCAUGCAAGUCGAACGAGAAGCUAUUGCACUUCGGUAUGAUAGCGGGCAGUGGCGAACGGGUGAGUAACACGUUGGUGACCUGCCUCGAAGAGGGGGACAACCACUAGAAAUGGUGGCUAAUACCCCAGAUGUCAACCUUAUUAGAAAUGGUUGACUAAAGCUCCGGCGCUUCGAGAGGGGCCUGCGUCCCAUCAGCUAGUUGGUAAGGUAAUGGCUUACCAAGGCUCAGACGGGUAGGGGACGUGAGAGCGUGAUCCCCCACAAUGGUACUGACACACGGACCAUAUACCUACGGGUAGCAGCAGCGAGGAAUAUUGCGCAAUGGGCGAAAGCCUGACGCAGCAACGCCGCGUGGAGGACGAAGGUCUUAGGAUUGUAAACUCCUUUUCUGAGGGAAUAGAAAGGAAGGUACCUCAGGAAUAAGCUCCGGCUAACUACG
rnacentral:rRNA from 1 species